rnacentral:lncRNA from 1 species
CUGAACAAUCGUUGAAUGGACAAAUAACCCACAUUUGUCUAUUAUUGUAAUUGUUUCCUUCAUCAUCAUCAACAUCAUCAUCAUCAUCGUAAAAAACUAAUCUUCUUUGGCGGUGGUGUUGUGACGGAGGAAACAAGUGUUGUUCGAAUGCUCGUCGGAACGGAGGAAACAAGUGCCCUAUUACUCCAACAAUCUUCUCUGCUGCUGCUAGGAUCAUCGUAUCGUAAUCUCGUACAAAUCAAAAAUCAAGAAUAGUAGAGACAAAAGAAUCAAGAAGUAAAAGUUUAGUAUUUAUUUUCUAUCGUUUGUUCUUCCACCAACACACGGAGCAAAAAUAUACUACACAAACAUAGGGUUUCUUCCUUUUUUUGUGUUUGCGUAAGAAUCAAGAGUAGUUUACGAUGGUCUUUUUCUUUUUUAAAUAUUAAAGAAUGAGUUUUUAAGAGUUUGUUUGCUGUGAAAGAUAAAAGACACGAUUUGAUAAUCGUAUCAUAUUCUAUCUCAAUUUUUU